rnacentral:rRNA from 1 species
CUGGUUUUGGAUGGGCUCACGGCCUAUCAGCUUGUUGGUGGGGUAAUGGCUCACCAAGGCGACGACGGGUAGCCGGCCUGAGAGGGUGACCGGCCACACUGGGACUGAGACACGGCCCAGACUCCUACGGGAGGCAGCAGUGGGGAAUAUUGCACAAUGGGCGGAAGCCUGAUGCAGCGACGCCGCGUGAGGGAUGACGGCCUUCGGGUUGUAAACCUCUUUCAGUAGGGAAGAAGCGAGAGUGACGGUACCUGCAGAAGAAGCGCCGGCUAACUACGUGCCAGCAGCCGCGGUAAUACGUAGGGCGCAAGCGUUGUCCGGAAUUAUUGGGCGUAAAGAGCUCGUAGGCGGUUUGUCGCGUCUGCUGUGAAAGCCCGGGGCUCAACCCCGGGUCUGCAGUGGGUACGGGCAGACUAGAGUGCAGUAGGGGAGACUGGAAUUCCUGGUGUAGCGGUGAAAUGCGCAGAUAUC